GGCUGCUUGGCAUUUCACAUUGCGCUUCUAAGACAAACUUCCUUUGAGGUAAAACGCACAAACAUUUUGAGCCCAUGUCGACACAUCGUGGUCGUCGCCCACAAGAAAGUCGUCAUGUUCUACAAGAACAUCGUCAAUAAUCUAAUUGUCUUCAAUUUGGUAAUACUAUAUAGCUUAGUUUUUGAUAAAUGUAAACGAAUAUUGCUAACUAUAACUAUAAUAUUCA